UACGUAGGGGGCAAGCGUUGUCCGGAUUUAUUGGGCGUAAAGAGCGUGUAGGCGGCCAGGUAGGUCCGUUGUGAAAACUCGAGGCUCAACCUCGAGACGCCGAUGGAAACCAUCUGGCUAGAGUCCGGAAGAGGAGAGUGGAAUUCCUGGUGUAGCGGUGAAAUGCGCAGAUAUCAGGAAGAACACCCGCGGCUAAGGCGGCUCUCUAGUACGGUACUGACGCUGAGACGCGAAAGCGUGGGGAGCGAACAGG
rnacentral:rRNA from 1 species